rnacentral:tRNA from 1 species
GCGCCUUUAGCUCAGUUGGUAGAGCAGCUCCCUCUUAAGGAGACGGUCCAAGGUUCGAGCCCUUGAAGGCGCACUA